rnacentral:piRNA from 1 species
UAGAAACCUGGGAACAGUCAUGAGGCAGA